rnacentral:tRNA from 2 species
GGGGCCAUAGCUCAGCUGGGAGAGCGCCUGCCUUGCACGCAGGAGGUCAACGGUUCGAUCCCGCUUGGCUCCACCA